rnacentral:rRNA from 1 species
AGUGAACGCUGGCGGUAGGCCUAACACAUGCAAGUCGAACGGCAGCACAGUAAGAGCUUGCUCUUACGGGUGGCGAGUGGCGGACGGGUGAGGAAUACAUCGGAAUCUACUUUUUCGUGGGGGAUAACGUAGGGAAACUUACGCUAAUACCGCAUACGACCUACGGGUGAAAGCAGGGGAUCUUCGGACCUUGCGCGAUUGAAUGAGCCGAUGUCGGAUUAGCUAGUUGGCGGGGUAAAGGCCCACCAAGGCGACGAUCCGUAGCUGGUCUGAGAGGAUGGUCAGCAGCAUCGGAACGGAGACACCGUCCAGAGUACGACGGGAGGCACCAGUGGGGAAUAUUGGAGAAUGGGGGCAAGUCUGACCCGGCAUUAGGGCGUAGGUGAAGAAGGCCUUCGGGUCGUAAAGCCCUCUGGCGGGGAAAAAAAAGCAGCAGGUUAAUACCCCGCUGGUCUGACGGUACCCAAAGAAUAAGCACCGGCUAACUUCGUG